CUUCUCCACUUAGAGCUUCAAGGGUGAGUAUCAUUGCAGAGCACUAUAGCGACGGUGAUCAAGCCGGGGAAGGGAUCAUCGUCGCCAACUUGUUGGCAAACCUAGAGGACCACUUGAGAAAUGGCUUUGGGUCUUCACAUUGUGUAUUGGAGUAGAGUAUUUUCGAGAUCAAGAGUGAUAGACCAGCGUGGAUCUUGAAAGAUUGUCUGUAGAUGUUGUCUUAUCUGUUGUAAAUUUUGAGUUCUUGUCAUUGUCUAUCCAUGUAUUCCUGUAUUUUGUAUUUUGUAUUUUGGAUUUCUAUAUUCCGGUAUUGUGUACUUUGUAGAGUUAGUAAUCCUGUAACUCAGUUGGGUUGUUAUAGAUUUGUCUGUCGUGAAUCAUAUUCUGAGGCCUUGCAGGCCUAUGGGGCUCACACCUUGUGGGUCUGCGGUCGUUUGUCUGCACACCGGGUCUAGCGAGCUGGGUUCAGGGCAUGACAUUCAUGUAUCCCUAGAGAGAUCAACAGAUUUGCUCUCAACGGAAAGAACAUCAGUCAUCAUGUUAAAAUAUUAUCAUGGAAUGGUGGCUGCACAUGUAAUAUAUUUACAUAUAUAUAUAUAUAUAUAUAUAUCCACC